GCCCCCUUUCCAUCAGCUCCCUCCUUCCUCAGCUCAUGGCAAGAUUUCCUAUUGGACGUUGCAAUGAUUGUGUUCCGGGCGAGGAGCUGAAGAUGUGGGUGGAGAACCUUUGAAAGAAACGACCUCGAAAGUCGAUUAAAAUACUUGUGGCAGUAAGAACGGAUACAGAAGGUAACCGGUUACCUCAAUCGCAGUACUCGUCAUAAGUGAAAAUUAUGAAAAAAUAAUUGUGCUGCCCCCCGCCCCCGGCAAUCGCCAGGAGUCGAUACUGACUCAAAGGCACACCAAAAAAACAAACAAACACGCACGUAACAAAAAAUAACACGUGAGCGGCGCGUGCUAGGCCUACGAACUGCAAUCCAUCGCGUUGCGUAUGGCAGCUUUCCAACUAUUGGCAGAAUUCCUGCGGGUGACCUUGCUCCGCCCCAACAGCAGCCUCAGGGCCAGUCUGAUCCGUAAGAUUUAUGUCCACCCUCCCGUAAGGAAAAGUAGCUCGGCUGCUCAUCUCUUCCAUACACCGGAACAAAGGCCCCACCUGGAAUACCGUGUCCAAUUCUGUCAAAAAGAACAAUGAAAAACUGGAAGAAAUUCAGAACGGGCUACCAAAAUGGUGAAGGGACUGGAAUCAACUCCUGUGAGAAACUUAAACAAAAUGGGUUGAACAACAAGGUGACUUGCAAACAGUAAAUGCCUACCGAUGUCCUGUCUUAGGCAGCUAUUGACAAAGGAAGAAGAGUCAUGAGAUGGUGAGAUUCUUCCCUGUGUGCUCCCUUUUUCCACCACGACAAUGGCCAACUCAUUAAAAUUGCAACAUGUCUCAUUUUAGAAAUUAGAACAAAAGCCAUGAUCAUCACUUAGUCUUUGAAUCUGAACAGUUUUAUAGCAGGAAAAAUAACGUCACCACUGCUUUAUCUUUCUGCUUCCAAAUCUGUUCUUGACACAGCCUUCAAUAACAGUGGCUCUUUACCCAGCUGGACCAUCUGCAUGAAUCAGUUGCAUAUGAUAAAUUGGAUAAUAUGGGCCAGCUCACUGUCCCAGAACUAUAGUUGAGGAAAUACCAGGAAUUUCUGCCAACAGCGUGUCUGUUUUUUGGUAAGAGAGUUGGCUGUGCUUACAACAUGAUUCAGUUGGCCAUGUAGAAUGGACAAAAGUGAUUUUUAUUUGUUUUGCACUCAAACUUUUUGUUACAAUUUUCUGAGCCACCUAGAUGAUAGUGAAAACAGUAAUAUCAGAUGGUAGGGGCAAAAUUUUGUCUCUGAUAGAUAUAUAUGAAUGCAUGGUUCUUGUUUUUCACCAUACUCCUAUUGCUGUCGGUCCACAUAGAUUUUUUUCAGCCAUCUUUGAACUCUCUUUGCAUUGGUAAGAUAUUUGACAGUGUAUAAAUUGAAAUUUAUAUAGAGACAUUUGAACAAAAUUUAUUCAUCCGAUGAUUAAUAGGUAUCCAGGCCGCUCUGAUACCGACUAUCUAUAGAUCCUGCUUAAAGACGAACAGACUACAGUCACAGUGCAGGUAGCUAGAUUCUGUCCAGCAGCAUUAAAGAUUCAUCGGAAUCUGACAAAUAUCUCGUUGUAGAUAGUUUUAUAUAACCAACACACUUCAAUUUUAGAUAUUAUCAUUUUAUCAUCACCUUUAUUAUAGUUAACGAUCAAAAAUUGUAGGAUAUCAUAAUUUAAUUUAAGGAGUAAUAAUUA